rnacentral:rRNA from 1 species
ACAUACCUCUGGUGUACCAGUUGUCGUGCCAACGGCAUAGCUGGGUAGCUAUGUGUGGACGGGAUAAGUGCUGAAAGCAUCUAAGCAUGAAGCCCCCCUCAAGAUGAGAUUUCCCAACUUCGGUUAUAAGAUCCCUCAAAGAUGAUGAGGUUAAUAGGUUCGAGGUGGAAGCAUGGUGACAUGUGGAGCUGACGAAUACUAAUCGAUCGAAGACUUAAUCAAAA